UUGCAGGGAGAAGCAAGCUUGAAGUUCCUAUUGUGUUUAUGGCUGUGGAGGUUCGUCUCGCCAUCCUACGCAAGGUCCGGCAUAUCUGAGCAGAAGUUUGAAAUGAAGAAGCAUUUGAAAUGGCUGAACAAAUCUGCUGUCAAGAGCAUUCGGGUAAGAUAAAUCUAUUAUCUUUUUUUUUUGUUUUGAGUAUUUUCUGCUUGGGCUGAUUUUGGUAAGUAUCAUAUUCCGAUUUCUACUUCUUUUACCUUUUGGAUAUUUUUUUUUUAAUUUUUGUUCUAAUUGAACAAUAAGUUCAAAUUGUGUCGAGAUUUUUUUUAAGGUUUAUCUAAAGAAAGUUUAUAACUUUUGGAUGUUGUAAACAAACCCAGAAGGAGAUGUAAUUGCAUGUGUUCCUAUCACAAAGCAACCAGCUUUUGACCAUUCGUUACUCAAAGAUAUUUAGGUACAUAGAUACAACGAAUACUUAGAUUUUCUUUAGGCUUUGUGUUUUAUGUUUUAUGUGCUGAUGGUUAGUUUAAUUUACUUGCGGUUCCUUCUUUAGAUGAAGCAUAAUUACCAUCCUGUGGGACUCUUUGAUAACAACAAACUGUCUUUACGAAGUCAUAAAUAGAAGGACAUACAUAUCCCUCAGUUAUGGCAUCGAUAUGGUAAAUGUGCCGAAGGAAUCAUUCCCAUGAGGAUGACAAAGGAAGAUGUUGUCUUGAGAGAAAGUUCAUACAAAAGAUAUGGCAUGAAGAAGCAUAGAACUUUCUCGUUUCCUAAAUCUGAGGAACAUGACCUCAUGAACCAGUGAUCAUCAGAUGAGUAAAAGUUUUUUUUUUUUUUGUUGAUUUCUUGAUCUGAGAUGUGUUAUUUGUUUUGGUUUGUUGAACUGUAGAAUGACAUAGCUUAUGUGGAAGGGGAUAAUUACUAUGGAGCUAAAGCAACUACAAUGUGUGGGAGCCAAAGAUACAACAGCAGCACGAGUUCACCUUCUUGAAGAUAUGGCUUCUCAGUGACUUAUUCAGAAAAUAUCUUAACAGCAUAGAAGCUGGUUGGCAGGUUAGCCGGAUUUAUAUGGUGACAAUAAUACAAGGCUCUUCACUUACUGGACUGUAGGUUCCUGAGACUAUUGUAUAAUCAGAUUCUUAUGCUCAUGUGCUUCUGUUCCUUAUAAGCUUACCGAGUGUACCUGCUAACCACCGUUUAAUCAUCUCUAUUACUAGACUGUUCAUAGGGGUUCUUUCAAGUCUUAUUUCUCUACACAAACACAUAUUUAUUAUCGGAUAUUGUUCGCUCUCCGUUUCUCACAUGUGCAAUUACAAAGUACUUCUUAACCUCCUCAUUCAAGUGUCUUUAUAUGUUAUAUAUGGGCUCAUCUCUUAUAAUUUGCUUAUGGAUCCUCACAACAGAGGUCAGAGUCUU